GUGGGGAAUCUUGCGCAAUGGGCGAAAGCCUGACGCAGCCAUGCCGCGUGAAUGAUGAAGGUCUUAGGAUUGUAAAAUUCUUUCACCGGGGACGAUAAUGACGGUACCCGGAGAAGAAGCUCCGGCUAACUUCGUGCCAGCAGCCGCGGUAAUACGAAGGGGGCUAGCGUUGCUCGGAGUUACUGGGCGUAAAGGGCGCGUAGGCGGACAGCUUAGUCAGAGGUGAAAGCCCAGGGCUCAACCUUGGAAUUGCCUUUGAUACUGGCUGUCUUGAGUUUGGGAGAGGUGAGUGGAACUCCGAGUGUAGAGGUGAAAUUCGUAGAUAUUCGGAAGAACACCAGUGGCGAAGGCGACUCACUGGCCCAAUACUGACGCUGAGGCGCGAAAGCGUGGGGAGCAAACAGGAUUAGAUACCCUAGUAGUCC
rnacentral:rRNA from 1 species